rnacentral:rRNA from 1 species
UCGAGGAUCUUCGGCAAUGGGCGCAAGCCUGACCGAGCGACGCCGCGUGCGCGAUGAAGGCCUUCGGGUUGUAAAGCGCUGUCGAGGGGGAGGAAAGCCGAAAGGUUGACCUAUCCCUGGAGGAAGCACGGGCUAAGUUCGUGCCAGCAGCCGCGGUAAGACGAACCGUGCGAACGUUGUUCGGAUUCACUGGGCUUAAAGGGCGCGUAGGCGGGUUACCAAGUCAGGGGUGAAAUCUUUCGGCUCAACCGGAAAAGUGCCCCUGAUACUGGUAGUCUGGAGGGAGGUAGGGGCAUGUGGAACUUCCGGUGGAGCGGUGAAAUGCGUAGAUAUCGGAAGGAACGCCGGUGGCGAAAGCGACGUGCUGGACCUCUUCUGACGCUGAGGCGCGAAAGCUAGGGGAGCGAACGGGAUUAGAUACCCCCGUAGUCC